GAUGAACGCUGGCGGUAUGCUUAACACAUGCAAGUCGAACGGUCUUUUCGGAGAUAGUGGCGGACGGGUGAGUAACGCGUGAGAAUCUGGCUCUAGGUUUGGGACAACCACUGGAAACGGUGGCUAAUACCGGAUAUGCCGAAAGGUGAAAGGUUAACUGCCUGGAGAUGAGCUCGCGUCUGAUUAGCUAGUUGGUAGGGUAAAAGCUUACCAAGGCGACGAUCAGUAGCUGGUCUGAGAGGACGAUCAGCCACACUGGGACUGAGACAC
rnacentral:rRNA from 5 species